rnacentral:rRNA from 1 species
GUCAGGGAAUUACAAGCAAAGCUUAAAACCCAAAGGACUUGACGGUGCCCCAUCUCCCCCUAGAGGAGCCUGUCUAAUAAUCGAUAAUCCCCGCUUAACCUCACCACAUCUUGCUUUUCAGCCUGUAUACUUCCGUCGCAAGCCUACCACAUGAGCGAACCUAGUUAGCCCAAUGUUCACACAUAAAUGUGCUUAUAUCAACAACACGUCAGGUCAAAGUGCAGCAAACGAUGUGGGAUAAGAUUGGCUACACUUUUUAAUUUAGAAGAAACGGAAAACAAAAUGAAACUUUGUCAGAAGGUGGAUCUAGCAGUAAAAGAAAGAUAUUAAAUUUCUUUAAACUCGGCAUUGGAGCGUGU